UCAUAUUUAAAUGAUAAUGAUGAUUGCAUAUCCAUCCGGAAUCCGAUUUCCAUCCGAAAUCCAUUUCGAAAAACAGUUUUCAUAACUUCAACUAUUACUUGAUUAGAAAAAACCGUCUCUCGUUGGUUUUGAUAGGUGAUUAGGUGAUUGUAUUUAUUAUGUUAAAAAAGGCUGAACCACACCAACCAGCAUUAACGAACUGAGGCCAAAGAGUUUGUUCUCGGAUAGAUCACCAAGAAAUUCAAAGGAUUGCUGCCGGAAAACGUGAUCGGUUCGGUGCUGAUGUCUACCAAUAACAAUAAUAACAACAAUAACAGGAAGCCGCCAUGAAGUACGUAGGUCGCAAAAGAUAUUCCGAGAGGACCGAUACUGAGGAUUCGUCGUUGUUUUUAUGAAAAACAAAUGCCGCAGCAGCGGGAGAACAUGCAAUAAAUAAGAAAAUGCACCAAGUUAGUAUGCUCCGAUUCGAUUCAACACCAACGAGGAGCCACAGCAGGUCAGCCAGUUUUCCCAGAGCAAGAAAAUCAGUUUUGAAAUAUUUAUAUAAGUAUAUAAAAAAAAUAUAAAAUAUUCAACUUACUUCUGUAUUGUUAUUGGUUUUCAACCGUAUAAUAGAAAUCGCAUUCCGAAUGGAUCAAAUGAAAUAAAAACAAAUUAUUUAAAACAAA